UAGAUGACGCUGGCGGCGUGCUUAACACAUGCAAGUCGAACGAUGAUCCGGUGCUUGCAUCGGGGAUUAGUGGCGAACGGGUGAGUAACACGUGAGUAACCUGCCCUUGACUCUGGGAUAAGCCUGGGAAACUGGGUCUAAUACCGGAUAUGACCAUUCCGCGCAUGUGAUGGUGGUGGAAAGCUUUUGCGGUUUUGGAUGGACUCGCGGCCUAUCAGCUUGUUGGUGGGGUAAUGGCCUACCAAGGCGACGACGGGUAGCCGGCCUGAGAGGGUGACCGGCCACACUGGGACUGAGACACGGCCCAGACUCCUACGGGAGGCAGCAGUGGGGAAUAUUGCACAAUGGGCGAAAGCCUGAUGCAGCGACGCCGCGUGAGGGAUGACGGCCUUCGGGUUGUAAACCUCUUUCAGUAGGGAAGAAGCGAAAGUGACGGUACCUGCAGAAGAAGCGCCGGCUAACUACGUGCCAGCAGCCGCGGUAAUACGUAGGGCGCAAGCGUUAUCCGGAAUUAUUGGGCGUAAAGAGCUCGUAGGCGGUUUGUCGCGUCUGCUGUGAAAGACCGGGGCUCAACUCCGGUUCUGCAGUGGGUACGGGCAGACUAGAGUGAUGUAGGGGAGACUGGAAUUCCUGGUGUAGCGGUGAAAUGCGCAGAUAUCAGGAGGAACACCGAUGGCGAAGGCAGGUCUCUGGGCAUUAACUGACGCUGAGGAGCGAAAGCAUGGGGAGCGAACAGGAUUAGAUACCCUGGUAGUCCAUGCCGUAAACGUUGGGCACUAGGUGUGGGGGACAUUCCACGUUUUCCGCGCCGUAGCUAACGCAUUAAGUGCCCCGC
rnacentral:rRNA from 1 species